GCCUUAGUGGCAUAGUGGUUAAGUGCUAUGGCUGCCAACCAAGAGGUUGGCAGUUAGAAUCUGCCAGGCG
rnacentral:tRNA from 1 species